AUGCAGUGUUGCUGCUUGAGAUUCUUACUGGAAGUAUUACAAGGUCUCUUCCACUUUUUUUUUUCCAGUCUGAUUUUAACAGUUCCACAUAGAUCCUGCCGUUUGCCUUGGUGGAGAGGGGGAAUGUCUAAAGGAUGGCUUCUAAGCCCUAUAGAUGAGAUCAUUUUACCUGGAUUAGCUGGUACAAGAGCAGCAUGUUUCUAAGAUGAUGAUGAUGCCUGAAUGUUGGACUCCAACACUAUGGACAGCAAACUGUGAGUAGAGUUUUGCAAGCUCUUAAUGGCCAAUAUUAACAUGCAUUAUCAUUCCUGUUAGAGAUAGACUAAGACUAGGACUAUUACCAAGAAACUCUGGGCAUUAGAAGCCUUAUCCAAAAGGUAGCAUGCUAAUUACUAGUUCUCCCAAGGUCACCCUUUGCUUCUCUCUGUCCUCCAGGAAAAUUUUACUUGUUUCAAACACUGGGACUUGAUGUUUCAGAAUGGAAAGGUGCUUGUGCACAAGCAAACUUAGAUGAUGCAACUCAUCUAUGUCUAUGGAUAAAGGCUUGAAUUGAGGUCUAUGGAUAAAGGCUUGAAUCAUUUUUCAGAGGAACUCUAGAGUGAUCAUCUCAGUUAGCUUCUAAUAACACUUGGCACAAGGGUUACUGGAAAACGCUUAACAUGUUAUCUCUGGUCAUUUCCAGGGAAAUGCUGAGUGU
rnacentral:lncRNA from 1 species